rnacentral:rRNA from 1 species
AUGCAAUUCUCUUACCCGUAUGAUGCAGUGCGGUUUUUCGUUCGUUGCAGUGCGGUUUUCAGUCGGAUGAAGUACCCACGUCGAUCUGAGUGUCACGAAAAACAGAGUGUCCGCAUUUCGGUAAAUUCGAAAUUCCUCUUAAACCGUAAAGAAUUAGAAAGAGUGUUCUACAUGAAAGAGUUGCGCAUCGUCGAUAUAUUUCCAACGGCGUAUCGUUUGAAUCAUUCCGACCAGCUGUUUACAAAAAUUUCGCCAAAAACGGCCGAUGCCACUCGUCGUCCGCCGCACAAUUUUCAAAAUUAA